rnacentral:rRNA from 1 species
GAAACCGAGUCUUAAUUGGGCGUUAAGUUGCAGGGUAUAGACCCGAAACCCGGUGAUCUAGCCAUGGGCAGGUUGAAGGUUGGGUAACACUAACUGGAGGACCGAACCGACUAAUGUUGAAAAAUUAGCGGAUGACCUGUGGCUGGGGGUGAAAGGCCAAUCAAACCGGGAGAUAGCUGGUUCUCCCCGAAAGCUAUUUAGGUAGCGCCUCGUGAAUUCAUCUCCGGGGGUAGAGCACUGUUUCGGCUAGGGGGCCAUCCCGGCUUACCAACCCGAUGCAAACUGCGAAUACCGGAGAAUGUUAUCACGGGAGACACACGGCGGGUGCUAACGUCCGUCGUGAAGAGGGAAACAACCCAGACCGCCAGCUAAGGUCCCAAAGUCAUGGUUAAGUGGGAAACGAUGUGGGAAGGCCCAGACAGCCAGGAUGUUGGCUUAGAAGCAGCCAUCAUUUAAAGAAAGCGUAAUAGCUCACUGGUCGAGUCGGCCUGCGCGGAAGAUGUAACGGGGCUAAACCAUGCACCGAAGCUGCGGCAGCGACACUCAGGUGUUGUUGGGUAGGGGAGCGUUCUGUAAGCCUGUGAAGGUGUGUCGUGAGGC